ACAGACGUGUAUUUUUUCGAUAGCUUAAAGCUAUUUGAAAAUAUCCCAUUCCGGCUGACUGGUGAAAUCGAGAAUCGCGGACAGAUUUUCCUCCUUAUUGACGUUCGGUGGAAAAUAUCUUUGACCUGCGAAAUAAAUCAAGAUGGAAGUGCAGGUGGAGGGUGUACUUCUGGAAAAAUCGAUCGAGAAAAGCCUUGCCGGUGCUUCUCCGGUCGUCCAUUAUACCUGUAUCGUCGUAAUCGAUGGACGGAUUUCAACGUUGGAGAGCAAAUAAUACGGAGAUCGGCACUCGAAUAGCGUCGCUUUUAUCAUCUUCCUUCAGCUUCUUAUUCUCGAGAAGCAUCAAACCAUUGUUACGUAGUAUCGAACGCUGUUCGUCCAUUGAUUUGCGAUUAGAUCUGAUCAGAUCAGAUCGGAAAUUAGCACUUGGUAAUGCCGUUAGAAAUUGAUAUUCAUUCAAUAAAAAGUCGGCGUUAAUGAGGUGAAUUUUAAUUGCGGAUCGUUCGUAACUGCUCUGUGAUCGUUCGAGAUAUUUUAUUUCAACGAAACAAAUUAAUGAGAUAAUCAAAGCUUGGGUAAAAUAUCGAUGAGUUUACAAAUUUAGCCCGAUAAUUAGUAAAGUAAUUCGCAUAUCGUCAUCAUUUUUUUUUGCAAGGAAACUUUUUCAUUCAAUUUUGUUCUCUAAUUUCGAAACAAAAAAAGUCAAAACCGACUACCGUUGUCCAAUCUGGACUACCGUCUGCGAGUAGCCUCUGAAAUUUGAUAAAUUAACAGAUAGCCGUAAUCUACUGUUUCAUUAAUAAUUAUUUAAGUGAUUGUAAUCGGAAUAUCACGAGGUGCAGUAAAGUCCGUUUGCCAUUGUAAUUGCUCCGAUUGAAAAUCAAUUGUCAAUCUCAGGUUAUCCGAUCGUCUGGAGGGAAAAAUAAUCCGCUACGUAAUCUGAGAUAAUAUGACACGUUUCUAGAAUCGAACGAUUUGAAAAAUAAAAAUAUUGAUCGUUUUCUGCGUAUAUUCUUACGCUAUCGUAACGACGUCUUUUCACAAGAAAAAAGUCCAUCGUUCGUACGAGUUUCGGAAGCGUUAUACUUUGACGAGCUACUUUUUCGUCAACAGUUUCCUCACACGUUAUCUCUUACGAACGAAUCGUCGAUUUCGUGAUCAAAAAAGAAAUUUUCAACGCCUCUACGUGGACAGUGUAAUACUUUUCUUCCGUCUUUGCCGGGUUACUUGUUAAUAAUGUUCUGCCUGAGAUUUUACGAUGACCCAUUUCAUCCGUGUGGCUACUGUCACCUUCAUGAUUUAGGGUCUUCUCUAUCGUCGUUUAAUCAUGAAAUUCCGUAACUAACCCAGUUAGUGAGACCUGCGCGAAUUUUCUAAAUGAGAAUUUUAUCAGAUCUGAUGCGGUGUGAUCGGUGAAGAUUUUCGCAUCUCCUCAUAUAAUCAAUGGCACACAAAUUUUGAAUACCGGUAGGUAUAAUCGUGAUAUAGGUGUAUACAGUUAGCUUAAUCCCGUGGAAUUUCGGUUCUCGUGUGAAAUUAUGGAUAGAUUUUAGGUACGUUGGUUUAUAUACGUAGUACGAGUAUACAGCUAUAAGCAUUACGUAAUUACCUCUAUACGGAAGAUGCGAAUCGGAGAUAAUUAAAGCCCUAGGAUAACCAUCUUUGUCAUUUCCGUUUGCCGUCAGAGACGAUGUAGAUGAAGGUAGACGUUAUAUCGGCUCGUUAACGCAAAUGCCCUCAACCUCAUGGAUUGAAUUUCACACUGUCCGGUCUAAAAUACGAGAAAAUUUCGGCGCUUCGGAGCCUCUAAUAAUUUUCCAGAUUACAGAUCUCGGCUAUCAUAUUGAGAGCUCAAGAAAGAACCUUGAUCAUUUUUCACCUACGAGUUAAAAUCCACCCAGUAAAUUGAGAGAUCGUUUUCUUUUCAACUUUAUUCACAUCCUCGUUCCAUUCCAUUUUUAACGAUCAAUUAACGGACGAUAGUCCAGAAUCAGAUAGAAGAAAACUUUCGUUUUGCCCGUCAUAAGUUUUUUUUUUUUUAUUUCUCAGAUGUGUUUGUGCGUAGAGUACGGGGGGGAGGGGGGGGGGGGGGGGAUAGAAAAACGAAGAGAUAAGGAGACGAGGAUGAUGAGAAUUCUCUUCGAUUACCCAAUGAACGACCGCACCCUUUUUCUGCCAAGGUGUAACGCAUCGGAAGUAUACUUCUAGGCGUGGCGAACUAAACGUAGAUGGAUGGGAUUUAUGAGGGAGUAUAUUCUCACUCUCUCCUUUUAUCGAAUUCAAAUUGUCGGAACAAGGUAGCGAAUUCCUCCGAGAUGGAGUAAAGAUGGAUGGAUUGAUGAGCUGGCCACGUUUUCACUGGAGUGAAAUCGUUAAAUAUUUAUCACCCACAAUGCUGGUUUCUCAAUCAUCCUACGGGAGCAAAUAAAUAUUUCCUACGCUCCGUAGGAAACUAAGAAAAAUAACAAAGGAACGAAUCGGACUGGACUCAAAUAUUUCUGUUAAUGAAAAAAAAUAAAUAAAUAAAUAAAAAA